rnacentral:rRNA from 1 species
UGGGGAAUCUUGCACAAUGGGGGCAACCCUGAUGCAGCGACGCCGCGUGAGCGAUGAAGCCCUUCGGGGCGUAAAGCUCUUUCGACCGGAACGAUAAUGACGGUACCGGGGGAAGAAGCUGCGGCUAACUACGUGCCAGCAGCCGCGGUAAUACGUAGGCAGCAAGCGUUGUUCGGAGUUACUGGGCGUAAAGAGUGCGUAGGCGGUUUUCUAAGUUCGGUGUGAAAUCUCCCGGCUUAACUGGGAGGGUGCGCCGAAGACUGGGAUGCUGGAGUGUGGGAAAGGCAGGCGGAAUUCCUGGUGUAGCGGUGAAAUGCGUAGAUAUCAGGAGGAACACCGGCGGUGUAGACGGCUUGCUAGACCAUAACUGACGCUGAGGCACGAAAGCGUGGGUAGCAAACA